rnacentral:siRNA from 1 species
GCAAUUUCUGACGUGGCAGUGGC